rnacentral:rRNA from 1 species
GGAAUAUUGGACAAUGGGCGAAAGCCUGAUCCAGCAAUGCCGCGUGAGUGAUGAAGGCCCUAGGGUUGUAAAGCUCUUUUGCCAGGGAUGAUAAUGACAGUACCUGGAGAAUAAGCUCCGGCUAACUCCGUGCCAGCAGCCGCGGUAAUACGGAGGGAGCUAGCGUUGUUCGGAAUUACUGGGCGUAAAGCGCACGUAGGCGGCUUUGCAAGUUAGAGGGGAAAGCCCGGGGCUCAACCCCGGAAUUGCCUUUAGGACUGCAUCGCUAGAAUCCGGGAGAGGUGAGUGGAAUUCCGAGUGUAGAGGUGAAAUUCGUAGAUAUUCGGAAGAACACCAGUGGCGAAGGCGGCUCACUGGACCGGCAUUGACGCUGAGGUGCGAAAGCGUGGGGAGCAA